rnacentral:misc_RNA from 1 species
CAUCAUGAUCAGUUUCACUUAAAAACACUUAAGCAUUCAAAACCUAUAUAGGCAUCACACGAGUAAUGGUUCCCAUAAUACACGAUACUAGCAGAAAUUAAGAGCCCAACUCACUAUGGCUGUGAUGGUGGGGUUGGAUUCCACUGAGAAGGGGUAAGCGAUUUCUUGAUGGAGAGGGCAUGGAUCUCCUUCAUCUGCUCGGUGAGCGCAGCGUUGACCAUCCGGUGACGCUCCAGCAGCCGCUUACCCUCGAAUUGCUCCGACACCACCUCCACAUCAAAGCUCGCCCCGCAUCCUCCGGAUGUGUCGACCACCGAGAGAUGAGAAGGCUUCAGGGCGGAUGUAAGGGCGGCGAUCACGUCCUCCUUCGUCACCCCCAUCUCUCUCGCAGUCUUCUACUUCGAGAGUCGCACAGGGACGGG